rnacentral:rRNA from 1 species
GAAGGGAGUCGAUUUAGCCAUGCUAGUUGCACGAGUUCAGACUCGUAGCAGAUAGCUCAGUAACACGUGGCCAAACUACCCUAUGGAUCCGAAUAACCUCGGGAAACUGAGGCUAAUUCGGAAUACGAAUCCCAGGCUGGAACUGCCGGGAUUCCGAAACGUUACGGCGCCAUAGGAUGUGGCUGCGGCCGAUUAGGUAGACGGUGGGGUAACGGCCCACCGUGCCGAUAAUCGGUACGGGUUGUGAGAGCAAGAGCCCGGAGACGGUAUCUGAGACAAGAUACCGGGCCCUACGGGGCGCAGCAGGCGCGAAACCUUUACACUGCACGCGAGUGCGAUAAGGGGACUCCAAGUGCGAGGGCAUAUCGUCCUCGCUUUUCGCGACCGUAAGGUGGUCGCAGAAUAAGUGCUGGGCAAGACCGGUGCCAGCCGCCGCGGUAAUACCGGCAGCACAAGUGAUGACCGCUAUUAUUGGGCCUAAAGCGUCCGUAGCUGGCCAGCCAAGUCCAUCGGGAAAUCCGCGUGCUUAACGCGCGGGCGUCCGGUGGAAACUGGAUGGCUUGGGACCGGAAGACCAGAGGGGUACGUCCGGGGUAGGAGUGAAAUCCCGUAAUCCUGGACGGACCACCGGUGGCGAAAGCGCCUCUGGAAGACGGAUCCGACGGUGAGGGACGAAAGCUCGGGUCACGAACCGGAUUAG